rnacentral:rRNA from 1 species
GAUGAACGCCGGCGGCGUGCUUAACACAUGCAAGUCGAACGAAGCACUUAAGUUUGAUUCUUCGGAUGAAGACUUUUGUGACUGAGUGGCGGACGGGUGAGUAACGCGUGGGUAACCUGCCUCAUACAGGGGGAUAACAGUUAGAAAUGACUGCUAAUACCGCAUAAGACCACAGCACCGCAUGGUGCAGGGGUAAAAACUCCGGUGGUAUGAGAUGGACCCGCGUCUGAUUAGCUAGUUGGUGGGGUAACGGCCUACCAAGGCGACGAUCAGUAGCCGACCUGAGAGGGUGACCGGCCACAUUGGGACUGAGACACGGCCCAAACUCCUACGGGAGGCAGCAGUGGGGAAUAUUGCACAAUGGGGGGAACCCUGAUGCAGCGACGCCGCGUGAAGGAUGAAGUAUUUCGGUAUGUAAACUUCUAUCAGCAGGGAAGAAAAUGACGGUACCUGACUAAGAAGCCCCGGCUAACUACGUGCCAGCCGCCGCCGUAA